rnacentral:misc_RNA from 1 species
UCCUCUUUACAGAGGCAGUUUGUUUCGAGUUCCCACCUUUACGUGCUGGUAACAAAACAUGAGGGUCGCGCUCGUUGCGGGACUUAACCCAACAUUUCACAACACGAGCUGACGACAGCCAUGCACCACCUGUGCAUCACCUUCGAAAGCGGGUGGCUUUCACCACCGUGCAGAUGCAUGUCAAGCCCUGGUAAGGUUCUUCGCGUUGCAUCGAAUUAAUCCACAUGCUCCGCCGCUUGUGCGGGCCCCCGUCAAUUCCUUUGAGUUUUAGCCUUGCGGCCGUACUCCCCAGGCGGGGCGCUUAAUGCGUUAGCUACGGCACGGAUCCCGUGGAAGGAAACCCACACCUAGCGCCCACCGUUUACGGCGUGGACUAC